UCUCUCCUCCCCUCCGCUAGCCGUCGCCCCUCUUGAGAUCUGAAGUGUUGUUCAUCAGAAUUUCUCUGUUGCGCUGAAUCGGCUCCAAACAAAAGGUUCCAUCCCUUCUCCCUUCGGCCCUGCCUAUGUUCUACUCGCAUCUAACGUCUUCAUCUGUGUAUAUUUUGUUCAAUCUUGUGGAAGUAUCAUCGUGAUUAAGAUCUUCUUCCAAGGAUUGGAACUUAGAUAGGUUGUUACUGCUAUCUUUUUUAGGUGGCUCUAACUACAAUGCGUGUUCUGAUGGGCUAGGGUUUGUUCUCAUGGAAUAUUUCAGCAUCCAUGUACUUCAAUUUGAACAUGUCAGGAAUAGUAGCCUUGCGGAAAUACUGUUUGUUCAUGGCAAUUAAGAUGUUUUUCCUGCUGACAUUCACUAAUUCCUAGAAGUACUAUAACAAGUGCUUAUUAGAAGAUAAUUUUAGUAAUACUAGUCCUACAACAAGUGCUUAUUAGAAGAUAAUUUCAGUAUCUUUUCCAAUGGGGAACCAAAAAAUGAUUUGGGAUGGCCCUCGACGCAUUGAUGGAAGCAUGAAUGAAAAACAGUGGUGCAACUGCAACCAAGGCAGCAGUUCACUGCACUGUCCUGGUCUGAUUUGCCAGUCCGGGAGACCUGCCGUUGGUAGAUGGCAAUGGUGAUGGCGAGAUUAUGGUUACCAUUUGCUGGUUACCAUUUGCAGUCGAAUCGUUGUUAUCACAACGGGAGCGAUCAGAUGAUAGCUCAGUGCUAACUGUUUCGUGUUCAUAGCCUCUGAAAACUGUUAACUAUUCCUGUCGCGGAAUUGAAGGUUGUUGGUCCGGUCACCGUCGGGCCAUCAAUGAGCUGCAGUUUGUUAGUAGUUCAACACAGUGCUUACAAUGAAUGCAGAUUAGAAAUUUGUGCAUCAAUACUGAUAGAUAGUGUCACUUCCACACCGAACCAACUGCCAUGUUUUCCUACUUUGCAUUUCUUCCCCCUUAAUUUCAUUAGAACAAUUGAUGCUACUCUAUUCACUCUAGAUGGAACAAGGAUGUUCUAAGAAAAGAGAAGCAGAAGAGAUUGUACAUGGAGGCAAAAGAUCCAAGUGCAAUCAAUUUGAGCAUGUCGAAUCAUUUCUGAAGCUUGCAUCUGAAAUGAGUGAUAGACACAAACAGUGUGUAGGUAGAAUGGGGUUUCAAACAUUCCUAAAAAUAACAAGCAUGUCCAAUAUUGACUCCAUUCACUUGUGGCUUUCAAACCAUUUCAACACUACUUCUUGCUCCAUUGAAAUGGGAAAUGGAUUCAAAUUCCCUAUUACAACUUCAAGUGUUCACAAGAUUUUUGGUAUGCCAAUUGCUGGAGUUCCCGUCAUCACGAAACCAUCAAAAGCAACGUAUGAAUUCAUCAAGCACGGGUUUGGAACAACUUCACCCACUAUUGAGUACCUUUUCUCAAUUAUCAAUGAUAAACUUCCCGAAGAUAAAUACUGCCGAAUCUUCAUUCUGAUACUACUAUCACUGUUUGUUGCACCGAAUUCAAGUGGAGUUGUUACCAAGUUUGUCUACAACGCAGUAGUUGACAUAGACAGUAUUUCACAAUAUGAUUGGUGUCUGCUAUGUCUGAGCUACAUGGUUUAUUCAAUCAAAAAAGCAAAAGUAAACAAGGCAAGCACCAAAAAGUUCAUUCGUGCAGGAUGCAAAUGACUUAUGGUGAUAUCCUAUUUCGAGUUCCUCAUAAUAAGUGAAUUGAAGUUGCCAAGCAUUGAACCAAGACUACCACUAUGGUCGGCAAACAUGCUAAAUUCAUACAUGGCACUCGAUGCGCUCCAUGGUGAGAGAAACGAAUGUGGCAGACUACCGAUAAAACACAUCUCCUCUACUUCAUUCAAUGAUUCUGUUUUCAUUGAACUUCCUGAAGAGAUAUCGCAGUAUAUUGAAUCCAAAUUCACAGAUAUUAGUAUGACACAAGACAAGAUAAUUCUACAAAUGCAAGCUCAGAUAUUCUACAUGAAUAUCAUUCGGAACUCAGCACAUACUCUGAAGACCUAUGAAGAUGACAUGCAUACUUCAUUGCUCAAGACGUGGACAUCUUCCAGCAGCCCAAACCUACAAUUUAAAUCAUCAGUUUCGGAUAACACAUUCAGAGUUCCUAGGACUAAACAAUUGUUGGCUAUAGAAUCUCCUCCAAAUUUCCCAAUGCUAACUGUCCCAACAAUCGUUGAAGAAGAUAAACAAGUCAACAUCAAUGAAAUUCUUCAGCAUUUGGUCAAUCAUUUCACUCAUUCUCUGAACAUAACCAGCUCUAAUUUCUCUCUAUCUUUUAAUGGUAAUCUACCAUCUUUCGAAGAGCUUGCUUGUCCGAAAUUAUUUGUGAAGACAUCAAGUUGAAAAACAACACCUCCCAAUGAUGUUUCAGAAAUGUUGCAUCAUUUCAUUGAUGUUGAACUAGAUAAAGACUUGUUGCUUGAUGAAAAUUUAGUUGCAUCUCAGAAUACUCUCAACAAUACAAUGCAUGCCAAUUCAAAUGGAGAGGCUGGUACAGUCACUCAACAUGAAGGCACAGAUUCUCCUUCAUUUGAUGCAAUUACCAAUUCAAUUGAGUUAGUUCACAAUGUUCCAUUUGCAUCUUGUUCCUCUAGUCAGUUCAGCCUCUCAGCAAAUCAGUAUAGCAUGCAUUGCAAUAGUCAUGCCAAUCCCAAUGUUCCUGGAACCGAGAUCCCAAUAAGCAUAAUGGAUUUCCUAUCACCAAAACUCUACCCAAACAAUAUUGCCACACCUAUUGAAGAUUCUUUGCUAGUUAAAGCACUCGAACAACAUGAAGCACAUUCCAGUAAGUUUUCAAAACUAGAAACUUCAACUUGGCAACAACGUGUGAACAAUUCUUUCAAAUCUGCGACACUAGUAAUUCAAGAACCCAAAAAGGCUGGGCAACAUGUCAUCUUUUCAGACGGAAUAGAGAAUGAUUUCUACCAAACAUUGGUUGGACUACUUCCCAAAUUAACUUUCAGGUAAAAAUGCCCGUAUUCAAGGAAAAACAAUGGAUUUUAGUCACUGCUAACUUUAGCGCCAAAUUUUUUGAUAUCAUGAACCUGUACUACAGUGGUGAUACAUUUCUACCAACAAUUAGAGCAGUUAUCUACAACUUUAAGCUCUUGUUUGCUGCUACAUAUGGAAAUUCUACUUCUUUCAACAUAGGUAAUUUCGAAUCAAGAUUUGUAGCAGCUCCCAAGGUUAAUUUCAGGUAUGACUUAAGAAUUUUGAUUGUGCAGUAUGUUAGCAAGUACAAAUGUCUUGAAUUGCAGGGGUUCUCUAAUGAUGAUUUACAAGCUCUAUGUCAAAAAUUCCUUUUUGAGAUUGUAACAUGCAAGGACAAUGAAAUUCAACUGCCGUUAGUAACUUCUUUCCUGCAGCGACAUGGUCUCAUUAAUACUGUCACCUUCAAGGGAAGUGCACUGCAAGAUUCAACUCAAAGGAAUACUUCCAUGGCAAAAAAGUUUCCUUACUGAUAGAGCAAUCUUUUUUUGUCUUGUUGGUCUAGUGAUUGUUUCUUCCAAGACCUUCAGCUAUAAACAAUGUCUGAAAACAGCCGAAAAAGUAUUUAAA